GGUCCGCACCCUCUGACCGGCCUCACUCCUCCUCUGCUCACUGGGUUUUUCUGCAGGAUCUCUGCACAAUGAAGAUGGACAUCAACUUUAGAUGGUUGAAAAUGAUGUUUCAAAGCAUUGAUCGACAUCGAAUACUGUGCUGGUCUCAAGAAAGUUGGAAGACAUGAAGAAACUGAUGAAGCAAAAUGAGGUGUGCUUACAUCGGUUGAAUUGACCUUCAAUGACAUCCAGAGUAGGUGGUCCCCUAUUCUUGGAUCCAGUUUAAAUGUUCUUGGAUUGGUUAACAGGU